rnacentral:rRNA from 1 species
UACGUAGGGUCCGAGCGUUGUCCGGAAUUACUGGGCGUAAAGAGCUCGUAGGCGGUUCGUCGCGUCGGCUGUGAAAACCCGGAGCUCAACUCCGGGCCUGCAGUCGAUACGGGCGGACUUGAGUGUUGCAGGGGAGACUGGAAUUCCUGGUGUAGCGGUGAAAUGCGCAGAUAUCAGGAGGAACACCGGUGGCGAAGGCGGGUCUCUGGGCCUUACCUGACGCUGAGGAGCGAAAGCGUGGGGAGCAAACAGG